rnacentral:rRNA from 1 species
GUGAGGAAUAUUGCGCAAUGGAGGCAACUCUGACGCAGCCAUGCCGCGUGCAGGAAGAAGGCGCUACGCGUUGUAAACUGCUUUUAACCGGGAAGAAACCCCAGGACGUGUCCUGGGUUGACGGUACCGGAGGAAUAAGCACCGGCUAACUUCGUGCCAGCAGCCGCGGUAAUACGAAGGGUGCAAGCGUUAUCCGGAUUCAUUGGGUUUAAAGGGUGCGUAGGCGGAGUGUUAAGUCAGUGGUGAAAUCCUGCAGCUUAACUGUAGACUUGCCAUUGAUACUGGCGCUCUUGAGUGCGCUUGAAGUGGGCGGAAUGUGCCGUGUAGCGGUGAAAUGCUUAGAUAUGGCACAGAACACCAAUUGCGAAGGCAGCUCACUAAGGCGAUACUGACGCUGAGGCACGAAAGCGUGGGGAUCGAACAGGAUUAGAAACCCGAGUAGUCC